CUUGAUGAUUGAAUGAAUGAAUGAAUGAAUGACAGCCCUAGAAGUCAUUCAUUCAAACUUUCCUAAUGGAUUACAGAUCAACUGCUCAGUCAGUCACCGGUGUAACAACUGUAGAACUGCUCCAUGGAUGACGGAUGAGGGAAAGUUACAAAUCAUGGACCUGCCUGAAGCCUGUAUAAAUGGGCACAUGGAACAACAUGUGAAAAUAAAACAGGAAAAAACAAAGGAGUACACUGGUGCUUGGAGAGAUGACAAAUCAUUCGACGUCCAAUCUGGUGACCUGGUGCAGAUUAGGAAACCGUGUAAGGAAAGGACAACCCAAGUUUACACAACCAAGGACUGUAGAGAAAAGGAAAUGUGAGGAUCCUUACUUGCUGGAGGAUUGGAAAAUAUGGAAUGCCUCAUGCCUUGCUGCCUUGCUGUGCUGCCAGAGAAACCCUCCUGUCAUCUCUCAACCCCCAAGAAACCCCGUCAUCUCUCAACCACCAAGAAACCCUCCUGUCAUCUCUCAACCCCCAAGAAACCCCCGUCAUCUCUCAACCACCAAGAAACCCCUGUCAUCUCUCAACCACCAAGAAACCCCCAUCAUCUCUCAACCACCAAGAACUGACAUGUUCACUUUCAAAAAUGGACUACUAUGGCCCAGAUCCCCAGUUGAAAGACAGGGUAGACUUAGUGCUACUAAUGUCAUCAAAAUGGUUCCAGGCCCCACCAGAUAUGCUAGCAGUCAUGUACAAGACAUAAAGUCUGCAUUUGAACUCUUCAUAACACCAUCAAUGCAAAAGGAUAUUCUUGAGAUGACAAACUUAGAGGGGAGGCGUGUGUAUGGUGACAAUUGGAAAGAGCUGGACGUGACCCAAUAGCAAUCCUAUAUUGGGUUGCUUAUUUUGGCAGGAGUGUACAAGUCAAAAGGUGAAGCAACAGCAAGACUUUGGAAUGCUGACACUGGUAGGGCAAUUUUUCCAGCCACAAUGUCUCUGGAGACAUUUAAUGUUUUCUCCCACAUUAUACGCUUUCAACAGGAGCUUGCCAAACUUGCACCUAUCUCGUCUGAAUGAAGAACUGAUUUGGGUACCUAGUUGAGGUGUUAUGUUCAUUUUUGAUCAAAAUUCAAUUCUGGUGAUUAAUUUACUUUUUAUUGGUGUUUCUUCAUUAUUGAAUAACUGUCAUAUGUUACUUAUUGAUGUUCUGAAGUGUUUUCUGAACCUAAACAUUUGAAAUGUUUGACAUUUUUUAUAUUUUUUCCUGGGGUCAAAUUGACCCCGAACAUAAAAUGUUACUAUGCUUGAUAAUAAAAGGUGUGUUUCUUUCCAAAUGUUAUUUUUCUUUUUUAAUGAGCACGUAAUACCAACAUAAAGCCCUGCAAACACCAAAACAUAUUUUGUUUUCCAUUUUAGGUUAAUGAGUUAGAUUGUACAGUCAUUUGCAUACUUCACAAUAGUCAUAUAAAA